rnacentral:rRNA from 1 species
AUUGAACGCUGGCGGCAUGCCUUACACAUGCAAGUCGAACGGCAGCACGGGAGCAAUCCUGGUGGCGAGUGGCGAACGGGUGAGUAAUAUAUCGGAACGUGCCCGGUCGUGGGGAUAACGUAGCGAAAGCUACGCUAAUACCGCAUACGAUCUACGGAUGAAAGCGGGGGAUCGCAAGACCUCGCGCGAUUGGAGCGGCCGAUAUCAGAUUAGGUAGUUGGUGAGGUAAAGGCUCACCAAGCCGACGAUCUGUAGCUGGUCUGAGAGGACGACCAGCCACACUGGGACUGAGACACGGCCCAGACUCCUACGGGAGGCAGCAGUGGGGAAUUUUGGACAAUGGGCGCAAGCCUGAUCCAGCCAUGCCGCGUGCAGGAUGACGGUCCUAUGGAUUGUAAACUGCUUUUGUACAGGAAGAAACCCUUUCACGUGUGGAAGAUUGACGGUACUGUAAGAAUAAGGAUCGGCUAACUCCGUG